rnacentral:rRNA from 1 species
AACGCUGGCGGCGCGCCUAACACAUGCAAGUCGAGCGAGAAAGAGGGGCAACCCUUGAGUAAAGCGGCGUACGGGUGAGUAACACGUAGGUAUCCACCUCUUAGUGGGGAAUAACUCGGGGAAACCUGAGCUAAUACCGCAUAAGUCCGAGAGGAGAAAGCAGCAAUGCGCUGAGAGAGGAGCCUGCGGCCGAUUAGCUAGAUGGCGGGGUAAUGGCCCACCAUGGCGACGAUCGGUAGCCGGCCUGAGAGGGCACACGGCCACACUGGCACUGAAACACGGGCCAGACUCCUACGGGAGGCAGCAGUGGGGAAUCUUGCACAAUGGAGGAAACUCUGAUGCAGCGACGCCGCGUGGACGACGAAGCCCUUCGGGGUGUAAAGUCCUUUCGACCGGAACGAUAAUGACGGUACCGGGGAAGA